rnacentral:lncRNA from 1 species
AUGGGGUUGGAUCUUUGGCCUCAGGGCAUGGAAACAAAAUGGGACAUCACCUGGAAUUUAUAUUGCUUCCGGCAUGGACAUAGGAAACUCCUCCUAGGAGAGAAGUCAGAUGGGUUCUUCUCCCUGGGUUGUCCUGGCCAUCAGGCACUGCAUUUCUUGUGGUGGGGCCACUUCUGGGGUGCGGCGCUGCUCUGCCCAGCUGCAGCCUGGCUCCUCGGAACGCAGUGCCACUCCUCCCCGCAGGAACAGCAGCAGCUUCGUGGCACGCUGGGGCGGGAGUGGCUGCUGCCAGCAGAAAACCUCCCAGGAAAGAGGAGAAGAGGCAGCAGGAACAGAGAGGAGCGAUCAGCAGGGAAACGAUGCAGCUGCACCAUCCCAUAGAGCUGCUGGGGACCAGCUGGAUGUUCCUGGCAGGUAAAUUAGGAGAUGAUGCCAUCCAGCAGGCUCGGGGCUGGAUUCUCACCUGGUGCAAACCAGCAGAGGUCUCAGCAGAGAUUUGCAAUUGGGCGUGGGGAUUGCUGUUCCACGUGGAUUAGGCUUUUUAAAUGGGACAAAUUGUUUGUCCUGUGGGGAAGGGCAUCUCUGAUCCACUGUCUAAAGGCAGAGGAGGUAGAAGCAACUCAGAAGCAUGGUACUGAGAAUAAACAUCCUCUGCAGGUAGGUUCA